GGCGGCGAUGGCGCGGAGCGUGCGCGUGCUCGUGGACAUGGACGGCGUCCUCACCGACUUCGAGGCCGGCCUUCUGCGGGGCUUCCGCCGCCGCUUCCCUGAGGAGCCGCACGUGCCGCUGGAGCAGCGCCGCGGCUUCCUGGCCCGCGAGCAGUACCGCGCCCUGCGGCCCGACCUGGCAGAUAAAGUGGCCAGUGUGUACGAAGCCCCGGGCUUUUUCCUGGACCUGGAGCCCAUCCCGGGAGCCUUGGACGCUGUGCGGGAGAUGAACGACCUACCGGAGUAAGGAGAGUGGGGGCAGGCGGAGUCCUGGGCGGGCUCCUGGCUCCCGGCGGUAACCACGUCCUUCUCCGCAGCACGGAGGUCUUCAUCUGCACCAGCCCCCUGCUGAAGUACGACCACUGUGUGGGUGAGAAGGUGUGGCUGCCCCGCCCCUACUCCGCAUUUGGAGCUGCCUAAAUCCUGAUUUUAAAAAGAAACCACCAGAAACCCAGAAGUACCGCUGGGUGGAGCAGCACUUGGGGCCCCAGUUCGUAGAACGAAUUAUCCUGACAAGGGACAAGACGGUGGUCUUGGG
rnacentral:sRNA from 1 species